CAGGGAACUGAAACAUCUAAGUACCUGGAGGAAAGGACAUCAACCGAGACUCCGCUAGUAGUGGCGAGCGAACGCGGACCAGGCCAGUGAUUGAGCGAAGACAAGUGGAACCAUCUGGAAAGUUGGGCCUCAGCGGGUGACAGCCCCGUACACGUAAUGCUGAACUCAAUCCACGAGUAGGGCGGGACACGUGCAAUCCUGCUUGAACAUGGGGGGACCACCCUCCAAGCCUAAGUACUCCUUACCGACCGAUAGCGCACCAGUACCGUGAGGGAAAGGUGAAAAGCACCCCGACGAGGGGAGUGAAAAUAGAACCUGAAACCGGAUGCCUACAAACAGUCGGAGCCUGAAAUGGUGACGACGUACCUUUUGUAUUAUGGGUCUGCGACUUAGUCUGACGAGCAAGCUUAAGGCGAUAGCUGUAGGCGUAGCGAAAGCGAGUCUGAACAGGGCGUUCAGUUCGUCGGAUUAGACCCGAAACCUGUCGAUCUAUCCAUGGUCAGGUUGAAAGCAGGGUAACA
rnacentral:rRNA from 1 species